rnacentral:rRNA from 1 species
AUUGAACGCUGGCGGCAGGCCUAACACAUGCAAGUCGAGCGAGCGGCGGACGGGUGAGUAAUGUAUGGGGAUCUGCCUGAUGGAGGGGGAUAACUACUGGAAACGGUAGCUAAUACCGCAUACCAUCAGAUGAACCCAUAUGGGAUUAGCUUGUAGGUAAGGUACGGCUUACCUAGGCGACGAUCCCUAGCUGGUCUGAGAGGAUGAUCAGCCACACUGGGACUGAGACACGGCCCAGACUCCUACGGUAGGCAGCAGUGGGGAAUAUUGCACAAUGGGCGCAAGCCUGAUGCAGCCAUGCCGCGUGUAUGAAGAAGGCCUUCGGGUUGUAAAGUAGUUUCAUCGGGGACACGUUAGCCUCAAAAGAAGCAUCGGCUACCUCCGUGCCAGCAGCCGCGGUAAUAC